rnacentral:rRNA from 1 species
AUGCUGGAGGUAUCAGAAGUGCGAAUGCUGACAUAAGUAACGAUAAAGCGGGUGAAAAGCCCGCUCGCCGGAAGACCAAGGGUUCCUGUCCAACGUUAAUCGGGGCAGGGUGAGUCGACCCCUAAGGCGAGGCCGAAAGGCGUAGUCGAUGGGAAACAGGUUAAUAUUCCUGUACUUGGUGUUACUGCGAAGGGGGGACGGAGAAGGCUAUGUUGGCCGGGCGACGGUUGUCCCGGUUUAAGCGUGUAGGCUGAUUUUCCAGGCAAAUCCGGAAAAUCAAGGCUGAGGCGUGAUGACGAGGCACUACGGUGCUGAAGCAACAAAUGCCCUGCUUCCAGGAAAAGCCUCUAAGCAUCAGGUAACAUCAAAUCGUACCCCAAACCGACACAGGUGGUCAGGUAGAGAAUACCAAGGCGCUUGAGAGAACUCGGGUGAAGGAACUAGGCAAAAUGGUGCCGUAACUUCGGGAGAAGGCACGCUGAUAUGUAGGUGAAGCGACUUGCUCGUGGAGCUGAAAUCAGUCGAAGAUACCAGCUGGCUGCAACUGUUUAUUAAAAACACAGCACUGUGCAAACACGAAAGUGGACGUAUACGGUGUGACGCCUGCCCGGUGCCGGAAGGUUAAUUGAUGGGGUUAGCGGUAACGCGAAGCUCUUGAUCGAAGCCCCGGUAAACGGCGGCCGUAACUAUAACGGUCCUAAGGUAGCGAAAUUCCUUGUCGGGUAAGUUCCGACCUGCACGAAUGGCGUAAUGAUGGCCAGGCUGUCUCCACCCGAGACUCAGUGAAAUUGAACUCGCUGUGAAGAUGCAGUGUACCCGCGGCAAGACGGAAAGACCCCGUGAACCUUUACUAUAGCUUGACACUGAACAUUGAGCCUUGAUGUGUAGGAUAGGUGGGAGGCUUUGAAGUGUGGACGCCAGUCUGCAUGGAGCCGACCUUGAAAUACCACCCUUUAAUGUUUGAUGUUCUAACGUUGGCCCGUUAUCCGGGUUGCGGACAGUGUCUGGUGGGUAGUUUGACUGGGGCGGUCUCCUCCUAAAGAGUAACGGAGGAGCACGAAGGUUGGCUAAUCCUGGUCGGACAUCAGGAGGUUAGUGCAAUGGCAUAAGCCAGCUUGACUGCGAGCGUGACGGCGCGAGCAGGUGCGAAAGCAGGUCAUAGUGAUCCGGUGGUUCUGAAUGGAAGGGCCAUCGCUCAACGGAUAAAAGGUACUCCGGGGAUAACAGGCUGAUACCGCCCAAGAGUUCAUAUCGACGGCGGUGUUUGGCACCUCGAUGUCGGCUCAUCACAUCCUGGGGCUGAAGUAGGUCCCAAGGGUAUGGCUGUUCGCCAUUUAAAGUGGUACGCGAGCUGGGUUUAGAACGUCGUGAGACAGUUCGGUCCCUAUCUGCCGUGGGCGCUGGAGAACUGAGGGGGGCUGCUCCUAGUACGAGAGGACCGGAGUGGACGCAUCACUGGUGUUCGGGUUGUCAUGCCAAUGGCACUGCCCGGUAGCUAAAUGCGGAAGAGAUAAGUGCUGAAAGCAUCUAAGCACGAAACUUGCCCCGAGAUGAGUUCUCCCUGACUCCUUGAGAGUCCUGAAGGAACGUUGAAGACGACGACGUUGAUAGGCCGGGUGUGUAAGCGCAGCGAUGCGUUGAGCUAACCGGUACUAAUGAACCGUGAGGCUUAACCUU